CACUGGACCGCAGCGCGUGUCCAACAUUGACAACGAUGCAGACGAGAUUCGCGUGGCCCCUGCGCAAGGGUGAGACGCAAAUUCGUGAAGCGUUCCAAACGUUU